rnacentral:rRNA from 1 species
UACGAAGGGAGCGAGCGUUGUUCGGAAUCACUGGGCGUAAAGGGCGUGUAGGCGGAUCGGCAAGUCGGGCGUGAAAUCCCUGGGCUCAACCUCGGAACUGCCUUCGAUACUGCGGGUCUCGAGUCCGGGAGAGGUGAGUGGAAUUCCUAGUGUAGAGGUGAAAUUCGUAGAUAUUAGGAAGAACACCAGUGGCGAAGGCGGCUCACUGGCCCGGUACUGACGCGUGAGGCGCG